GGUCGGCUGGUGUAGUGGUUAUCACGGUACACCUCAUCUAUUAAGCUACUCGCAAAAGCAAUGCUAAUACAUUUGUUAGUCUGCUUUACAGUGCAUAUUGUUAUGCCCAUAUCGCAGCAGGUCGCAAGUUCGAUCCUUGCGCCGAUCA